UCUUCUGUUUGCAUCCAGUAUUCACAUUAGUUGGUUCCACUCCUUAUGCUUUGGAUGUCAUUAGGGAGAUAGACAAACGGAUAGGGAGUUUCUUAUUUGCCUCUUAAGAUUGAUAGCUGGUUCGUCAACAUUGUCUGCUUUGGGACUUCAACAUUGCUUAACAGAUAAGAAUUUCAAUCUGUCUCUCAAACAUAGACCUUAUACAUACCCCCUGCCAACAGACUCAAUUCUUAUUGCCACUCCUAAUUAGAUAACUAAGUCUCGAUGGAUACAAUGUAUAAUUUAGUGUUGACCCUAAACAAUGGCAGCUGCACUUCUAAUAUUGAAACUUUUAGCUUUCUCAUACACAUUUUUGUAAUCUAGUAAAUCAACUGACAUAGUAAGAAAAAAUAAAUUAUAGACAGGGCGUACCUCCCUUGUGUUCCUGAUCAAAUCUACAUACCUAGAGCGAGUAGAUGAAAUAAGCUACCAGUUAGACUCACUUCAUUGCUACACACAAGGAUAUAUGUCAGUUAUUUCAUAUGGACCCCCUGCCUGAUUUUUUGAUGCAUGUGCAAAUGCAUUUGGCAGUGUCACAAGCCUCAACCUAGAGAAUUUGAGAUUUGGUGAAUCAGACAUAUCCAACUUCCUCAUCACUUGCAAGCUGUUGAAGGAUCUACAUUUGUUCAAUUGUGACCGAUAAUCCCAGCACAUUGCAAGUUGAGCACGCUCAUCUCACUGAACUCAGUAUCGUUGGUUAACUUCUUGAACAAGUUAAGCUAAACUAGCUCUCUCAACUCACGCAAAUGGUCCUUGAUGAUUGUAUUUAUUUCCAAGAUCCACUGGUUCUUGGUCAUGUCCCAUUGCUCAAGGCUUUAAGCCUCACAAAUGUCGCAUGUAGUUUUCACAAGAUGGUCAAGUUAAGUGAGUUUUCUAGCCAUACCUCUAUACUAGAUCUGAAGCUGGGAUUUAAAUCCAAAAAGGUUCAACAUUGUCGCUUUGCUAGCCAUGGCUUCAACUCUUCUCUCAGUUCUCUGCUCAUUUCAUCAGCAUGUGUUUAUUCGUUGCAGAUUUGGGUGCAGCCAGAAUGUCCAAUGGAAAUUCUUGCAUCCUUCCGCCAACUAAUCGGACAUUUACCUAGAGAUUUCUGUUUGCCACGUGGGCUUAAUGUUAGGUGUCAUUUCCCCUUGACUAAUCGGACAUUUACUUUACUCUCUACUAGGUGCACAUCAGGAGCGUGUGUCAUGCACGACGCCAUUAGAUCAUAUGCAGCUUCCAAACUCGACAUUACAAAAGACCAGCGUACCGGUUGCUGAGAACCUGGCGGUGUUCCAAGCAAUCGAGUACAUGCAAUAUUUGCAAAAAAAACACUAAAGGAAUGUCGGCUUUUGGUGAUGCAAGUAGCAGCUAUUAGGUGUUCAUUUUCUGUUCGGGUGUCGUGUCCUCUAAAUACAAUGUCCUUUCUUGAUUGGCCUACAUAUGAAGUUGGAAGUCCGGGAACACGCGGAUCGAGUUGACAGACGACCAUGAGUCUUGAAAUACUUUCAGAGCCGGAGAUUGUGCUUUGAGUCGGUUGCUUUUAAGUUGAAAGGCUUGAUAGUCAGCACGAAAUGUUUUUUGUUGGUUCAAGAACUAUUUAUGUGUGACAUUGAUCUACAUGUUUGCCAUGGAUUUGUUGUUGGCCACAUGCAUGGUUCAACAUUAUUAUUUGUCUAAUAUUUCAUCUUUAGUUGUACCGAGCCAAUAACCGUUGUUAUACAAACUGCGAUUCGGUGUGGUUUCCACGGGAUCGUGCGCCAAGGCGCACAUCUAAAUCUAGUACACUAUAAAGUUAUGGACCCAGUUAAUUGUAUAGUAUAUGUGUUCUUUUGUGAAAAGAACGGUAGAUACUUUGGUGCCGCUCGAAAAAUCUCUUUAUUGGUUUAUGAUGCCUUUAGUAAUAAAAAAAAUUCUU